CCUACGGGUGGCAGCAGUGGGGAAUAUUGGGCAAUGGACGCAAGUCUGACCCAGCAACGCCGCGUGAAGGAAGAAGGCUUUCGGGUUGUAAACUUCUUUUAAGCGGGAAGAGCAGAAGACGGUAACCGUUGAAUAAGCCACGGCUAACGACGUGAGAGCAGCCGCGGUAAUAGGUAGGUGGCCAGCGUUGUCCGGAUUUACUGGGGGUAAAGGGCGUGCAGCUGGAGAGACAAUGCAGAUGUGAAAUCCGCAGGCUCAACCUGCGAACUGCAUUUGAAACUGUGUCCCUUGCGGAUCGGAGAGGUAAGCGGAAUUCCUAGUGUAGCGGUGAAAUGCGGAGAUAUUAGGAAGAACACCAGUGGCGAAGGUGGAUGACUGGACGACAACUGACGGUGAGGCGCGAAAGCGUGGGGAGCAAACAGGAUUAGAUACCCGUGUAGUC
rnacentral:rRNA from 1 species